AAAAAAAAAGCCGGAUUAUCACUGCUAAGGCCCUAGUUAUUGGAAAGAAUACUCUACUUCUGCACUCCCUCCUGAGAUGCUCACAGUGAUUCUGGACAUUAUGUGCCUAGGAUGCAUAUGUAGUUUUUGUUAGCAGCUGAGAUUCCCUAGGCCUACCCCCAGACAUUCUGAUUCAGAAGGGAUGGGGCAGGCAUGCGUGGUUCCUAGAUCAAGACAACCUUAGGGGCGUAUGCACACAUGGCCCACGAUUCAGGAAGCCACCUGAGACGAAAAUGCCUGUAUUUACUAGGCACAAGUGCUCCAGCACACCUCCUAUUAGUUGGUCUGAAUAUUCCACUUACUCAGAGUGACUAAGUGGCAGAAAUUUCCAGGGUCUGUCCUGCCAAACUAGCCAUAGUUUUCUGUAUUCCCUGACAUCAUCAGAGAUGAUGGAGUUACUCUCCAAGGGGCAGUGUUGAGCUUGGGGGCUUGACUGAGUGCCCUGUCUGUGUGUACUCAAGGGAGUUGCCUUUGGGCUUAUAAAGGAGCCAAAUAAGGGGUCUCAUCGCUGUAUCAUUUUCCAGAAAUUCUUACUCAACAUUUUACAUUUCUAUAGCAAGUCAGUAGAACUGAUGGAUUAAAAUACAUCCCAGAGAACUAGUGCUGCUGCUCUGGAAACACUGCAGGAGCCACUGUCACACUGAUGCCUGAUGCAGUCCAGGCUGCCUAACCAGAGACUGCUGUCUCUAGCUCAUUUUUCACUUAGGGCCACAAUGCGUGGACCUCCAUCCCGCUUUUGGUUGGGAAAUACGUAGGCAAGAUAUGGUGAUUAUCUGUGUUGGAGGCAGCUGCGACAGUUCACUCUUCUGGGCAUGUUAAUUGCUUUUUGGUAAAAUUAAAUAUUUAGAGGAGAUAACACGUAAAAAAUAUUUGUCAGCCCAUGUAUAGAAAUGACAUUUUCAGAAAUAAGUAUAGCUAAUCACACAACAUUCUAAGAACAUGGGUACCUUUUCUGAACUAACACUUAGGCACCUCCUCAGUCAUUAAGACUGUUAUUUUAUUGUACUCUAUCUUCAAAUUAGUAGCUGGUUAAAGAAUACCAUGCUAAUGGUAUUUGCUGUGCUUCUGGAGAUAGUAACAUUCUCAAAAUGUGAGCAGGUAACAACUUGGGUUUUGAAAUCUGUCUCCUUGACUUACACCAGACAUGGUGCAUCCCAUGCCUUACAAAUCAAAUUUACCUUUUAUUUCAACAGCAAAUGUUCCUUAGAGGGAUUACCCUCUAUAUCUGUGUAAUUUUUUUUUUUUACUUUUGCACAUGAGAAGAAAAUUUGUAUGGAAUAAAUUGGGUCUAAUGAGUGACAUCAUCAUGGCAUUGCGUUGGAUUUCCCAUAAAGCUUUUCUUAUAGAGCUUCUGUUAAAGUUUAAGCAGCCUGCCCUGUCAUCUUCUGCAAAAACCAGCUGUUUUUUUCUCUCUCUCUUUUUGAUGUUGUAUAUAUUCCU
rnacentral:lncRNA from 1 species